rnacentral:rRNA from 1 species
GACGAACGCUGGCGGCGUGCCUAAUACAUGCAAGUAGAACGCUGAAGAGAGGAGCUUGCUCUUCUUGGAUGAGUUGCGAACGGGUGAGUAACGCGUAGGUAACCUGCCUUGUAGCGGGGGAUAACUAUUGGAAACGAUAGCUAAUACCGCAUAACAAUGGAUGACACAUGUCAUUUAUUUGAAAGGGGCAAAUGCUCCACUACAAGAUGGACCUGCGUUGUAUUAGCUAGUAGGUGAGGUAACGGCUCACCUAGGCGACGAUACAUAGCCGACCUGAGAGGGUGAUCGGCCACACUGGGACUGAGACACGGCCCAGACCCCUACGGGAGGCAGCAGUAGGGAAUCUUCGGCAAUGGGGGCAACCCUGACCGAGCAACGCCGCGUGAGUGAAGAAGGUUUUCGGAUCGUAAAGCUCUGUUGUAAGUCAAGAACGAGUGUGAGAGUGGAAAGUUCACACUGUGACGGUAGCUUACCAGAAAGGGACGGCUAACUACGUGCCAGCAGCCGCGGUAAUACGUAGGUCCCGAGCGUUGUCCGGAUUUAUUGGGCGUAAAGCGAGCGCAGGCGGUUUGAUAAGUCUGAAGUUAAAGGCUGUGGCUCAACCAUAGUUCGCUUUGGAAAUUGUCAAACUUGAGUGCAGAAGGGGAGAGUGGAAUUCCAUGUGUAGCGGUGAAAUGCGUAGAUAUAUGGAGGAACACCGGUGGCGAAAGCGGCUCUCUGGUCUGUAACUGACGCUGAGGCUCGAAAGCGUGGGGAGCGAACAGGAUUAGAUACCCUGGUAGUCCACGCCGUAAACGAUGAGUGCUAGGUGUUGGAUCCUUUCCGGGAUUCAGUGCCGCAGCUAACGCAUUAAGCACUCCGCCUGGGGAGUACGACCGCAAGGUUGAAACUCAAAGGAAUUGACGGGGGCCCGCACAAGCGGUGGAGCAUGUGGUUUAAUUCGAAGCAACGCGAAGAACCUUACCAGGUCUUGACAUCCCGAUGCUAUUUCUAGAGAUAGAAAGUUACUUCGGUACAUCGGUGACAGGUGGUGCAUGGUUGUCGUCAGCUCGUGUCGUGAGAUGUUGGGUUAAGUCCCGCAACGAGCGCAACCCCUAUUGUUAGUUGCCAUCAUUCAGUUGGGCACUCUAGCGAGACUGCCGGUAAUAAACCGGAGGAAGGUGGGGAUGACGUCAAAUCAUCAUGCCCCUUAUGACCUGGGCUACACACGUGCUACAAUGGUUGGUACAACGAGUUGCGAGUCGGUGACGGCAAGCUAAUCUCUUAAAGCCAAUCUCAGUUCGGAUUGUAGGCUGCAACUCGCCUACAUGAAGUCGGAAUCGCUAGUAAUCGCGGAUCAGCACGCCGCGGUGAAUACGUUCCCGGGCCU